UCCGACAGCUAGUGCCAAGUCCGAGCCCAGUCCACAUUUGGAUAGUCCUGUGACCACAUCAUCAUCAUUAUUAACCUUAGCCCAAGAACCGCAACCAUAAUCGUUGUGGUGUUUGUUGAGAUUGUAUUUAAGUUUCCAACCCGUCUUUCAUUUAAGUGGAAAUAAAAAGAGGAAGAAUGAACAGCGCCAUGUAUGCUACAUUCUAUUUGUUUUACAAAUUGUUCUAAUGAAAUAAUUGUAUAAAUGUACAAGACUGUAAAGUCUUGGACAGUAAGAUUGCAAUGUUUGCAUCCAAUGCUUGUGAAGAUUUUUUUUUUUAAGUACAUUGUAUUGUUCAUUAACUUUACAAUAACUUUUAGUAUAUUGUAUUGUUCAUUAAUUUUCCAAUAACUUUUAGUAUAUGAAACAAAUAUCUUAGUAUUUCCAAUUCUUGUUCUGUAUUAAUCUAACAAUGUUGUAUGCAUGGUGUUGUUAUACAUGGGAUGGUUAUUGAAUUAUAUGUUGAUGUGAUGAUAUUUCUAUACAUUUGUUAUAAAAAUCUACUAUUUAGUUGUGAUAGAAUUACUUAUCUUGGACCUGUUUAUUGGAAAUAUAAAAUGUGUUAAUUUUGAAAGUUUUCAUUUUAUUGAAAGAUUUAUUCAUUUAAAUUUCAAGAACUUCCUCUGACCACUAUUUAGACAUGUCAAAAA